AUCCUGGCUCAGGAUGAACGCUAGCGGCAGGCUUAACACAUGCAAGUCGAGGGGUAUUUAUCUUCGGAUAGAGAGACCGGCGCACGGGUGCGUAACGCGUAUGCAAUCUACCUUUUACAGAGGGAUAGCCCAGAGAAAUUUGGAUUAAUACCUCAUAGUAUUAUGAAAUGGCAUCAUUUUAUAAUUAAAGUCACAACGGUAAAAGAUGAGCAUGCGUCCCAUUAGCUAGUUGGUAAGGUAACGGCUUACCAAGGCUACGAUGGGUAGGGGUCCUGAGAGGGAGAUCCCCCACACUGGUACUGAGACACGGACCAGACUCCUACGGGAGGCAGCAGUGAGGAAUAUUGGACAAUGGGCGCAAGCCUGAUCCAGCCAUGCCGCGUGCAGGAUGACGGUCCUAUGGAUUGUAAACUGCUUUUAUACGAGAAGAAACACUGCUUCGUGAAGCAGCUUGACGGUAUCGUAAG
rnacentral:rRNA from 1 species